UACAGAGGGGGCGAGCGUUGUUCGGAAUUACUGGGCGUAAAGGGCGCGUAGGUGGCCUUGUUAGUCAGACGUGAAAUCCCCAAGCUUAACUUGGGAACUGCGUCUGAUACUGCAAGGCUUGAGUUCGGGAGAGGGAUGUGGAAUUCCAGGUGUAGCGGUGAAAUGCGUAGAUAUCUGGAGGAACACCGGUGGCGAAGGCGGCAUCCUGGACCGAAACUGACACUGAGGCGCGAAAGCUAGGGGAGCAAACGGG
rnacentral:rRNA from 1 species